rnacentral:rRNA from 1 species
CACUCCUACGGGGGGCAGCAGUAGGGAAUCUUCCACAAUGGACGAAAGUCUGAUGGAGCAACGCCGCGUGAAGGAAGACGGUUUUCGGAUUGUAAACUUCUGUUCUUAGUGAAGAAGAAUGACGGUAGCUAAGGAGCAAGCCACGGCUAACUACGUGCCAGCAGCCGCGGUAAUACGUAGGUGGCAAGCGUUGUCCGGAAUUACUGGGUGUAAAGGGAGCGCAGGCGGGAAGCCAAGUCAGCUGUGAAAACUACGGGCUUAACUUGUAGACUGCAGUUGAAACUGGUUUUCUUGAGUGAAGUAGG